AGUUCUUCAGCGCUGUCUCUGUGAUCCAGGCUUUGAUCUGGGAAAGGUUGCGCCUCAUUGCAGAGUUGAAGCUAUCUCCCUGCUUUGUUUACAUGAACACCCUUCCAGGACUCUGUCUGCUUUUGGGGUGGAAGUGCCCUGCCAAAAACUCUAGCUCUCCAUGCUGGCUGUGUGGCCAGCAUACCUCCUGCCUUUUCAACGAUUCCUCUGCCCUGGAUAGAGAGCGGUGUCUCAUAACAGUUUAGAAACUUCAAAAGUUUCCCUGGCAGGAUGAAUGAUUGACUAGGCAACAUGUUCUUGCCUUUUGGAGUUGCCCUCCAAUUUUUCCAGGCUUGAUUCUGUAAAUCAUUUCAUCUUGUAAAAACACUGGGCUGUGAGCACAGAUGAUCUCAAAGAUGAGGAAACAGAAGCUGGGAUAUGUGAGUAAAUAUUUCCAAGGUCCUGCAGCUAAUCAGUGGUUGACAACUUCUUUCCUCUGCCUAUGUUGCCAUCCAUGUCAUGGUUUAUGUCAAGACUCUAGGAGAAGUCUACCAUCAGCACCACAGCUACUGUGCACAAAUCCAGAAUGCCAGACUGAAGGCAGAAGGAAGGGACCUGGCUUUUAAAAAUGGUGAAGGGAAAUGUUCUUAUCACCCAUUCCUGUCAGAGAUGAUGCAGCUCAUUGCUGAUGCUGAGAUCCAAUGUCCAGUGCCCGAGUACCCCUGGAUUCUGAGCACUAGGGGCUGGACUGUGGAGACCAUCAGUUCAUAACAUCCUGUCCCUGCUCCCUGCUAUAGAUGACUGAGGCCAGCUAACAAGGACACUUAACUUCAUAAAUUAAAAAUGUGUAAAUUAUAAAAUACAUUUUUAAUUAUAGAAUGAAUUGAUGUUCAGCAAAGAAAAGUUGAAUGUAAUAAAACUCUCAUUUAUUUCCAUCAUUUGCUUUCAUCAUCAAAAGAAAAAAACAUCUCUCUGAAGCUAAAUGGCAUUUCAUUUUGAUUAAUUGUAGAAAGAAGAUUGGAAAAUCUCCUAUGACCAUGGAAAAUUGUGAAAAAUAUUUCUGAUAUUUUGUCUAUGCAUUUUAUUUUUGAGGGCGUUUUUUAUGUUAGUGUGACUAUCUUGUAUUUCUUGCCCUGUUGUAAACUUUUUAAAAAUUGGUCUUAAGUUAUUACUAAGUAUAUGAUUUAAAAUCCCUAAUUAGGGUUCUUAAACAAGAGAGAAGCACUCUCAUACUCCUAGAAUAAGAAGAACAAAAGAAGGAGGAAAAAUCUUGACCUCCGUAAGAUCCAGGAUGACACGUGCAAGGUGCUGACACAGCAUCCGCUGGCAUCACUGAGUCUCCUGGACCCCAGAAGCCCACUUCCCCAGGCUCUGAAACCCUGCAGCAAUGAAAAGGAACCACAGGCAAGCCAUAAGGAAGAUAAUUUUUCUACUAAAAAAUAAAUACAAAUGCAUCCUUAGAGGCAGGUUUCAUGAGGACAGAGAGAAUCCGGUUUUGUGUGUGCCUGAUUUCGUUUUUCUGUCAAAGAGAUACAAAACAAUCAACUGAGUUAUCUUGAACUUACAAAGAUUAAAAACAAUCAAUUCAAUUUUUCCCCAGUCUUACUUCUUUAGAUAUGAAGAAAUAUAGCCUAUUAAAACUUGGAUUAAUAAAAAACCUUUCAUUAACUUUUAGAA